UACGUAGGGUGCAAGCGUUAAUCGGAAUUACUGGGCGUAAAGCGUGCGCAGGCGGUUUUGUAAGUCUGUCGUGAAAGCCCCGGGCUCAACCUGGGAAUUGCGAUGGAGACUGCAAGGCUUGAAUCUGGCAGAGGGGGGUAGAAUUCCACGUGUAGCAGUGAAAUGCGUAGAGAUGUGGAGGAACACCGAUGGCGAAGGCAGCCCCCUGGGUCAAGAUUGACACUCAUGCACGAAAGCGUGGGGAGCAAACAGG
rnacentral:rRNA from 1 species